GACGAACCGUCCGAACGUUAUUCGGUAUCACUGGGCUUAAAGAGUUCGUAGGCGGCCGAGUAGGUCAGGUGUGAAAUCCCACAGCUCAACUGUGGAACUGCGCUUGAAACCGUUUGGCUUGAGGGAGAUAGAGGUGAGCGGAACAGAUGGUGGAGCGGUGAAAUGCGUUGAUAUCAUCUGGAACACCGGUGGCGAAAGCGGCUCACUGGAUCUUUUCUGACGCUGAGGAACGAAAGCUAGGGUAGCUAACGGG
rnacentral:rRNA from 1 species